rnacentral:rRNA from 1 species
UUGACUGACACCACGCUUCCAGGAAAAGCCACUAAGCUUCAGCUUAAGAAAAACCGUACCGCAAACCGACACAGGUAGGCAGGGUGAGAAUCCCAAGGCGCUUGAGAGAACUCGGGUGAAGGAACUAGGCAAAAUGGCACCGUAACUUCGGGAGAAGGUGCGCCCUUUGGUGUGGUCACGUGCGUGACUGAGCAUCGAAGGGUCGCAGUAACCUGGCCGCUGCGACUGUUUAUCAAAAACACAGCACUCUGCAAACACGAAAGUGGACGUAUAGGGUGUGACGCCUGCCCGGUGCUGGAAGGUUAAUUGAUGGGGUCAGCCGCAAGGCGAAGCUCUUGAUCGAAGCCCCAGUAAACGGCGGCCGUAACUAUAACGGUCCUAAGGUAGCGAAAUUCCUUGUCGGGUAAGUUCCGACCUGCACGAAUGGCGUAACGACAGCGGCGCUGUCUCCACCCGAGACUCAGUGAAAUUGAAAUCGCUGUGAAGAUGCAGCGUUCCCGCGGCAACACGGAAAGACCCUGUGAACCUUUACUAUAGCUUUACACUGAACGUUGAGUUCUUCUGUGUAGGAUAGGUGGGAGGCUAUGAAACCAGGACGCUAGUUCUGGUGGAGCCAUCCUUGAAAUACCACCCUGAAGUGCUUGACGUUCUAACCUAGGCCCGUAAUCCGGGUCAGGGACCGUGUAUGGUGGGUAGUUCGACUGGGGCGGUCUCCUCCCAAAGAGUAACGGAGGAGCACGAAGGUACGCUCAGCGCGGUCGGACAUCGCGCACUGUGUUCAAAGGCAUAAGCGUGCUUGACUGCGAGAUCGACGGAUCAAGCAGGUACGAAAGUAGGUCUUAGUGAUCCGGUGGUUCUGUAUGGAAGGGCCAUCGCUCAACGGAUAAAAGGUACUCCGGGGAUAACAGGCUGAUACCGCCCAAGAGUUCAUAUCGACGGCGGUGUUUGGCACCUCGAUGUCGGCUCAUCACAUCCUGGGGCUGUAGCCGGUCCCAAGGGUAUGGCUGUUCGCCAUUUAAAGUGGUACGCGAGCUGGGUUCAGAACGUCGUGAGACAGUUCGGUCCCUAUCUGUCGUGGGCGUUGGAGAUUUGAGGGGGGCUGCUCCUAGUACGAGAGGACCGGAGUGGACGUUCCGCUGGUGUUCGGGUUGUCAUGCCCAUGGCAUUGCCCGGUAGCUACGAACGGAAGUGAUAACCGCUGAAAGCAUCUAAGCGGGAAGCACGCCCCAAGAUGAGAUCUCCCGAGAGCUUGACUCUCCUAAAGGCACCAUCAAGACUAGGUGGUUGAUAGGUCAGGUGUGGAAGCGCAGCAAUGCGUUGAGCUAACUGAUACUAAUGAGCCGUGAGGCUUGACCAA